rnacentral:rRNA from 1 species
UACGUAGGUCCCGAGCGUUGUCCGGAUUUAUUGAGCGUAAAGCGAGCGCAGGUGGUUUAAUAAGUCUGAUGUAAAAGGCAGUGGCUCAACCAUUGUGUGCAUUGGAAACUGUUAGACUUGAGUGCAGUAGAGGAGAGUGGAAUUCCAUGUGUAGCGGUGAAAUGCGUAGAUAUAUGGAGGAACACCGGUGGCGAAAGCGGCUCUCUGGACUGUAACUGACACUGAGGCUCGAAAGCGUGGGUAGCAAACAGG